rnacentral:pre_miRNA from 1 species
AGACAUCAAGGCCCGCGUCAUAAACUUCCCAUAUGAUUUCCCAUAUGGGAGUUCAUGACUUAGGCUUCGUUGUCU